rnacentral:lncRNA from 1 species
CCCCCGGCGCCCGGGAGCCCCGCAAGCCCAUCCCCGUCCCUCUCGCGCCCCGCAGUGAUCCAGGAGCGCACGGCCCAGCUGCUGUCGCAGUGGGGCUGCCUGCGGGGCCGCUGCGAGGAGCAGGAGCGCUGGCUGCGGGAGCUGCUGGCGCUGGCCGACCGCUUCUGGCACGGCCUCUCCGAGCUGGCCCUGACGCUCAGCGACACCCAGCAGCUGGUGCUGGGUCUGGAGGAGGCCGACACCGAGCCCGAGUCCGUGCGCGCGCGGCUCCGCACCAUGCAGGUACCGGGGGGUCGGGGGUCAGCGAGCAGGCUGAGGACGGGGUGGGGGGGUCAGCGCUGAGCCCCGUCCCGUCCGCAGGCGCUGCGGGAGGAGAUCGACUCCCUGCAGGGCGACCUGGACACGCUGGGCAUCCUCGGCGUGGAGCUGAUGUCCUCCUGCGGGGACCCCGACAAGCCCGACGUCACCAAGAGCCUGGACGAUCUCUACUCCUCCUGGCACAGCCUGAACAAGGUGUGGACGGAGCGGUACGCCCGCCUCGAGGAGCAGCUCCAGGCCUCCCUCAGCUACCAGGAGACCAUGCAGCGGCUGUUCGAGUGGCUGGAUGCGGCCGAGCUGCGCAUCGCGGAGGAGUUCCUCGUCGGCGGCGACCUGGACAUGGUGCAGCAGCAGCUGGCGGAGCUCAAGGUGGGUCGUGCGGCAGGACGUGGCCCCGAGCCCGGGGCGGGGG